CUCUCUGGACUGGCUAUGAUCCUGACAUGGAUUCUAAACCAGAUACGGGCGAAGAGCAUGAGGUUCACUUCAAAAGUGAAUUGUUGCAGACUUUCAUAGGGGGCAAUGACACCACAAUAGAAGAAAACAACAAGUAACUCAUAAAAA